GUUUGAGUUCUGGCUCAGGAUGAACGCUAGCGGCAGGCUUAACACAUGCAAGUCGAGGGGCAUCGGGAGUAGCAAUACUUGCCGGCGACCGGCGCAAGGGUGCGUAACGCGUGAGCAACAUGCCCGUAUCAGGGGGAUAAUCCAUGGAAACGUGGUCUAAUACCCCAUAGUAAUUAUGUAAGGCAUCUUAUAUAAUUUAAAGCUUUGGUGGAUACGGAUUGGCUCGCGUGACAUUAGCUGGAUGGUAAGGUAACGGCUUACCAUGGCUACGAUGUCUAGGGGUUCUGAGAGGAAGGUCCCCCACACUGGAACUGAGACACGGUCCAGACUCCUACGGGAGGCAGCAGUGAGGAAUAUUGGACAAUGGAUGGAAAUCUGAUCCAGCCAUGCCGCGUGCAGGAAGACGGCCCUAUGGGUUGUAAACUGCUUUUGUAUGGGAGCAAUAAGGGCUACGUGUAGUCCGAUGAGAGUACCAUACGAAUAAGCACCGGCUAACUCCGUGCCAGCCGCCGC
rnacentral:rRNA from 1 species